rnacentral:lncRNA from 1 species
CUGGGUGUAGGAAAACUCUGCCACUUAUCCGAAGCCUGAAACUAUUCUAAAAUGUAAAAGGCUUAUUUUAAAAGUUAGAAAAAAGCGGAAUAAGGGGAGGUGGAGGAGAGGACAACAUGGCAGUUACCCCAGACAGUACUGGAAGGUCAAGAAAAUGAAAAUAUCGGUAUACAUCAUCUAUUUCAAGAUAUGUGUAAACUAGCCAUAAAGAGCAAAUGUUUUUUAUCUACUGGCCAUUAGCAGUGAACAGAUUACUCCUCCAUGAGACUUAUUUUCCCAUGAUAAAAAAAGAUUGUCAUCAUUAUCACAUUUUUUUAGCUGGGCUUAAAGUUAAAAGGGUUGUACACACACAAAUGGCAAUGGGCUGAAUAAACAGUAUAGUUUUUAUUUUCAACGGAGCAUAUUCCACAUGGUAAAUUAUCUAGUGCCACGGUUCUGUCCUGUUUAACUCCACCACCCAUGAGUUACAUACAUUCUUUAUAUGGAUAAACAGAAAAAUUCAUUUCGUGCCUGCCAAAACGUUUUCUUCUCAGGUGUUAUUGUGUGUAUAGAGCGAUGUGUAAAGAAAACUCGCUUACAAUGUCAUCUGUGUCUCUUCGUUAAUACGCCUUUAUGCUAUCAUCCAUAAUCAUUAUAAUUGUCAUAUCGAUCUCCCUUUUAAUAAACGGAGUCUUCCUCAUCAUUUAUUGGUGUCGAUGCUAACCAGCCCUCGGGGGCUUGAAGGGGCCGAGCACAACCGCGAAGCAGUGUCUGGUCCAGUGUCGCCACAUCUGGGUCUGGCUGCCAGGAGCAGAGUACCCACAGGAUGAGGCAGGAUCCUUCCUUUGUGGCGCGCAGCUCCCUCGAAAACACCCCUUGCGACGACAAACUCCUCUUUUUUCAGUUAACAGUUCGGGGACAGAGGUCGGUGGGGAGGCCCCAAGCUGACGUAGACCGAGAUGAAGAUGAGGAAGACCGGGAGGAGGAAGACGCUGGCUGCCGCGGCGGCCCCAGCGAAGAGCUCCAUCCUCCAACCGCAGCGCAGCCUCCCGCAGCCGGGACUCGCUCGCUGCCAGGAGGCGCCGCGUUGCCAUGGGAACCGCGACGGCGCCCCCGCGGCACCCGCGUUUAUUACCGGAGAAUCGACCCGCGCGGACGCGGUCCCCACCCCCCGGCGGAGGGCCGCGCUUGCUCCUCGCCCCCGUCACGCGUGCGGGAAAAGCAGAGCCAGACCACGGCGCGAAGUGCAAACUGCAAAUGCCUCGUAAGCGUUGGCCGGAGGCUGAGAGCGCCGCUGCGAGUGGAGAUCAGAGGAAAUGAGAGAGGCGGCAGGGAUAAAGCGAGCCGAAAUCGAGCCCACCUGUUCAACUGCAGACAUUUAUUGGGCAUCUGCUGUUUGCCGGAUGCUGUGUGAGGUGCUGGAGAGACAAGAUGGAGUCGACAUAGCUGCUGUUCCCCAGAAGGCAGCCGUGGAGCAGGUCACACGCCGUGUCGUGAGAUGAGCUGUGAUGGACUUAGGUGCCCUGUGGUCCUUGAAGAGUUCCAUGUAUUCGCUUCUGGAAAAUCACCUUCACUGGGUCCUCCAUUUAUGACAUCUCACCCUUAAAAAUCAUAUACAAAGAGAAUAUGGAUGCUUUUACUGCUGAAGAAAUGGCCCCUGGUGUCUCUGAGCAGCCCUGUUACUAAACAUAGCCCUAAAUUUUGUUUUGCUUGCUCAAAAGGCUCAUGGAUGAAACUUAAGCAGGACAAAGCUCCAACUUUAAAAUAAGACCUUACUAAUACAAAAGAAAGCAUGGCAUAAUAAAAGGAAAAAUAGGUAAUAAUAGUAAAGGUAU